rnacentral:rRNA from 1 species
CAGCCGCCGCGGGAAUACGUAGGUGGCAAGCGUUGUCCGGAAUUAUUGGGCGUAAAGGGCUCGCAGGCGGUUUCUUAAGUCUGAUGUGAAAGCCCCCGGCUCAACCGGGGAGGGUCAUUGGAAACUGGGAAACUUGAGUGCAGAAGAGGAGAGUGGAAUUCCACGUGUAGCGGUGAAAUGCGUAGAGAUGUGGAGGAACACCAGUGGCGAAGGCGACUCUCUGGUCUGUAAGUGACGCUGAGGAGCGAAAGCGUGGGGAGCGAACAGGAUUAGAUACCCCAGUAGUCCCUGUCUCUUAACA